UUAACACAUGCAAGUCGAGGGGCAGCAUGGUCUUAGCUUGCUAAGGCCGAUGGCGACCGGCGCACGGGUGAGUAACACGUAUCCAACCUGCCGUCUACUCUUGGACAGCCUUCUGAAAGGAAGAUUAAUACAAGAUGGCAUCAUGAGUCCGCAUGUUCACAUGAUUAAAGGUAUUCCGGUAGACGAUGGGGAUGCGUUCCAUUAGAUAGUAGGCGGGGUAACGGCCCACCUAGUCUUCGAUGGAUAGGGGUUCUGAGAGGAAGGUCCCCCACAUUGGAACUGAGACACGGUCCAAACUCCUACGGGAGGCAGCAGUGAGGAAUAUUGGUCAAUGGGCGAGAGCCUGAACCAGCCAAGUAGCGUGAAGGAUGACUGCCCUAUGGGUUGUAAACUUCUUUUAUAAAGGAAUAAAGUCGGGUAUGCAUACCCGUUUGCAUGUACUUUAUGAAUAAGGAUCGGCUAACUCCGUGCCAGCAGCCGCGGUAAUACGGAGGAUCCGAGCGUUAUCCGGAUUUAUUGGGUUUAAAGGGAGCGUAGAUGGAUGUUUAAGUCAGUUGUGAAAGUUUGCCGCUCAACCGUAAAAUUGCAGUUGAUACUGGAUAUCCUGAGUGCAGUUGAGGCAGGCGGAAUUCGUGGUGUAGCGGUGAAAUGUUUAGGUAUCACGAAGAACUCCGAUUGCGAAGGCAGCCUGCUAAGCUGCAACUGACAUUGAGGCUCGAAAGUGUGGGUAUCAAACAGGAUUAGAUACCCUGGUAGUCCACACGGUAAACGAUGAAUACUCGCUGUUUGCGAUAUACGGCAAGCGGCCAAGCGAAAGCGUUAAGUAUUCCACCUGGGGAGUACGCCGGCAACGGUGAAACUCAAAGGAAUUGACGGGGGCCCGCACAAGCGGAGGAACAUGUGGUUUAAUUCGAUGAUACGCGAGGAACCUUACCCGGGCUUAAAUUGCAGAUGAAUUACGGUGAAAGCCGUAAGCCGCAAGGCAUCUGUGAAGGUGCUGCAUGGUUGUCGUCAGCUCGUGCCGUGAGGUGUCGGCUUAAGUGCCAUAACGAGCGCAACCCUUGUUGUCAGUUACUAACAGGUUCCGCUGAGGACUCUGACAAGACUGCCAUCGUAAGAUGUGAGGAAGGUGGGGAUGGCGUCAAAUCAGCACGGCCCUUACGUCCGGGGCUACACACGUGUUACAAUGGGGGGUACAGAGGGCCGCUACCACGCGAGUGGAUGCCAAUCCCAAAAACCUCUCUCAGUUCGGACUGGAGUCUGCAACCCGACUCCACGAAGCUGGAUUCGCUAGUAAUCGCGCAUCAGCCACGGCGCGGUGAAUACGUUCCCGGGCCUUGUACACACCGCCCGUCAAGCCAUGGGAGCCGGGGGUACCUGAAGUGCGUAACCGCGAGGAGCGCCCUAGGGUAAAACUGGUGACUGGGGCUAAGUCGU
rnacentral:rRNA from 1 species